rnacentral:rRNA from 1 species
UACCAGCACCCCGAGUGGUCGGGACGAUUAUUGGGCCUAAAGCAUCCGUAGCCGGUUGUGCAAGUCCUCCGUUAAAUCCAGCCGCUCAACGGAUGGGCUGCGGAGGAUACUACAGGACUAGGAGGCGGGAGAGGCAAGCGGUACUUAGUGGGUAGGGGUAAAAUCCUUUGAUCCAUUGAAGACCACCAGUGGCGAAGGCGGCUUGCCAGAACGCGCUCGACGGUGAGGGAUGAAAGCUGGGGGAGCAAACCGG